AUUGAACGCUGGCGGAAUGCUUUACACAUGCAAGUCGAACGGUAGAGGGGGCAACCCCUCGAGAGUGGCGAACGGGUGAGUAAUAUAUCGGAACGUGCCCAGUCGUGGGGGAUAACGUAGCGAAAGUUACGCUAAUACCGCAUACGAUCUAAGGAUGAAAGCGGGGGAUCGCAAGACCUCGCGCGAUUGGAGCGGCCGAUAUCAGAUUAGGUAGUUGGUGGGGUAAAGGCUCACCAAGCCAACGAUCUGUAGCUGGUCUGAGAGGACGACCAGCCACACUGGAACUGAGACACGGUCCAGACUCCUACGGGAGGCAGCAGUGGGGAAUUUUGGACAAUGGACGCAAGUCUGAUCCAGCCAUUCCGCGUGCAGGAUGAAGGCCCUCGGGUUGUAAACUGCUUUUGUACGGAACGAAAAGGUCUCUCUUAAUACGGGGGGCUCAUGACGGUACCACCAGAAGAAGCCCCGGCUAACUCCGUGCCAGCAGCCGCGGUAA
rnacentral:rRNA from 1 species